UGGAAGUUUAGUGAUUUUGUUGU
rnacentral:miRNA from 1 species